UGCAUGGCUUAGAAUGUGUGAGGGGAUAGCGGAAUUGUUAAUGUAGAGGUGGAAAUUUGUAUAUUAGCAGGAACACCGGUGGCGAAGGCGGCUAUCUGGGCACACUAUGACGCUCUGGCGCGAAAGCGUGGGGAUCAAACAGGAUUAGAUACCCUGGUAGUCCACGCUGUAAACGAUGAGUGCUAGCCGUUGGAAUCUUAGAUUUCAGUGGCGCAGCUAACGCAUUAAGCACUCCGCCUGGGGAGUACGGUCGCAAGAUUAAAACUCAAAGGAAUUGACGGGGACCCGCACAAGCGGUGGGGCAUGUGGUUUAAUUCGAGGCAACGCGAAGAACCUUACCAGGCCUUGACAUGUCGAGUAUGGGGAUCAGAGACGAUCUCCUUCAGUUUGGCUGGCUCGAACACAGGUGCUGCAUGGCUGUCGUCAGCUCGUGUCGUGAGAUGUUGGGUUAAGUCCCGCAACGAGCGCAACCCUCGUCCUUAGUUGCCAACAGGUAAUGCUGGGAACUCUAAGGAAACUGCCGGUGAUAAGCCGGAGGAAGGUGGGGAUGACGUCAAGUCUUCAUGGCCCUUACGGCCUGGGCUACACACGUGCUACAAUGGCGGUGACAAUGGGAUGCGACCCUGCGAGGGGAAGCUAAUCUCCAAAAACCGUCUCAGUUCGGAUUGCACUCUGCAACUCGAGUGCAUGAAGCUGGAAUCGCUAGUAAUCGUGGAUCAGCAUGCCACGGUGAAUACGUUCCCGGGUCUUGUACACACCGCCCGUCACACCAUGGGAAUUGGUUCUACCCUGAAGUCGCCCUAAAGCGCCCACG
rnacentral:rRNA from 1 species